GCAAAUCCUGGAAUGGAGGCAAACAUCACAGCAACAGAAUCGUAAGAUUGUGAAUAAAGUUCCUGAUGAGAAAAAAACAAUGAUAGUGAAUCUGUGCUUCAACCUAUAACAAUAUGCUAAGAUGGCUUAAUGCCAUUGUGUUCCUUUCCCGUUUUUUUAAUGUUGCCCGCAUGAAUAGAAUUGUAAAAUAUACAUCAUUAAAGGAAUUAAAGAAUUACAAAUAUAUUAUCUCUUGAAAGUAAUUGAUUGACAACAAAUAUUUUGAAUCUAGGUAUUCCAGCCUUUGACUAUAUGAGACAAUAGUUUUUAUUUGUUCAGACACAAGGGGUUGCUGACUAGGCCUGCAUUUGUUGUCCAUUCCCUGUAUGUACUUGACAAGGUGUGGGGAAAUGCCUU